rnacentral:rRNA from 1 species
UUGCCUUGUUCUGCUCGCCUUGUACACUCCGCCCAAAGUGGGGGAUAACUAGUCGAAAGAUUAGCUAAUACCGCAUACGACCUGAGGGUGAAAGUGGGGGACCGCAAGGCCUCAUGCUAUAGGAGCGGCCGAUGUCUGAUUAGCUAGUUGGUGGGGUAAAGGCCUACCAAGGCGACGAUCAGUAGCUGGUCUGAGAGGACGAUCAGCCACACUGGGACUGAGACACGGCCCAGACUCCUACGGGAGGCAGCAGUGGGGAAUUUUGGACAAUGGGCGAAAGCCUGAUCCAGCAAUGCCGCGUGUGUGAAGAAGGCCUUCGGGUUGUAAAGCACUUUUGUCCGGAAAGAAAUGGCUCUGGUUAAUACCUGGGGUCGAUGACGGUACCGGAAGAAUAAGGACCGGCUAACUACGUGCCAGCAGCCGCGGUAAUACGUAGGGUCCAAGCGUUAAUCGGAAUUACUGGGCGUAAAGCGUGCGCAGGCGGUUGUGCAAGACCGAUGUGAAAUCCCCGAGCUUAACUUGGGAAUUGCAUUGGUGACUGCACGGCUAGAGUGUGUCAGAGGGGGGGUAGAAUUCCACGUGUAGCAGUGAAUGCGUAGAGAUGUGGAGGAAUACCGAUGGCG